GACGAACGCUGGCGGCGUGCCUAACACAUGCAAGUCGAGCGGAGUAUUAGCAAUAAUACUUAGCGGCGGACGGGUGAGUAACACGUGGGCAACCUGCCCUUGAGAGGGGGAUAACACAGAGAAAUUUGUGCUAAUACCGCAUAACCUUUGAUUGUCGCAUGGCAGUCUUAGCAAAGAUUUAUCGCUCAAGGAUGGGCCCGCGUCCCAUUAGUUAGUUGGUGAGGUAAUGGCUCACCAAGACCGCGAUGGGUAGCCGACCUGAGAGGGUGAUCGGCCACAUUGGAACUGAGACACGGUCCAGACUCCUACGGGAGGCAGCAGUGGGGAAUAUUGCACAAUGGGGGAAACCCUGAUGCAGCAACGCCGCGUGAGCGAUGAAGGCCUUCGGGUUGUAAAGCUCUGUCUUCAGGGACGAUAAUGACGGUACCUGAGGAGGAAGCCACGGCUAACUACGUGCCAGCCGCCGCAGUAAGAC
rnacentral:rRNA from 1 species